UUUUUGAAAAUAAUUUAAAGUCUAAUUUGCCCACUGAUNAAAUUAUUAAAGGGCUGCAGUAUUUUGACUGUACAAAGGUAGCAUAAUCAUUAGUCUCUUAAUUGGUGACUUGUAUGAAAGAUUGGAUGAGAUAUAUACUGUCUCUAUUUAAUUUAUAAAAUUUAAUUUUUUAGUAAAAAAGCUAAAAUUAUUUUAAAAGACGAGAAGACCCUAUAGAGUUUUAUAAUUUAUUUAAUUAUUAUUAAUAUAUAAAUUUUAAAAUUAAAAUUAAGUAAAUUAUUUUGUUGGGGUGAUAGAAAAAUUAAAUUAACUUUUUUUUUAUUGUAUACUUUAAUUUAUGGAUAAAUGAUCCAUUAAUAGUGAUUAAAAGAAAAAAUUACCUUAGGGAUAACAGCGUAAUUUUUUUUUUUAGUUCAAAUAGGAAAAAAAGUUUGCGACCUCGAUGUUGGAUUAAGAUAAAAUUUAAAUGCAAAAG
rnacentral:rRNA from 1 species